UACGAAGGGGGCUAGCGUUGCUCGGAAUUACUGGGCGUAAAGCGUGCGCAGGCGGUUGGCAAAGUCAGCUGUGAAAGCCCCGGGCUUAACCUGGGAAUGGCGGUUGAAACUAGUCGACUAGAAUCUGGCAGAGGGGGGUGGAAUUCCACGUGUAGCAGUGAAAUGCGUAGAGAUGUGGAGGAAUACCGAUGGCGAAGGCAGCCCCCUGGGCCAAUACUGACGCUCAUGCACGAAAGCGUGGGGAGCAAACAGG
rnacentral:rRNA from 1 species